AGAGAGAGACAUGCGCGCAUAUCAAUAAGCGGAGGAAAAGAAACUAACAAGGAUUCCCUUAGUAACGGCGAGUGAAGCGGGAAGAGCUCAAAUUUGAAAUCUUCAAGGUUUUACCUUGACGAAUUGUAGUUUAAAGAAGUGUUUUCUGCUGAAGUUUUGGUAAAAGUUCUUUGGAAUAGGACAUCAUAGAGGGUGAGAAUCCCGUAUUUGACCAUUAUUUCAGCUUUGUGAUACACUUUCAAAGAGUCGGAUUGUUUGGGAAUGCAGUCCAAAAUGGGUGGUAAAUUUCAUCUAAAGCUAAAUAUUGGCGAGAGACCGAUAGCGAACAAGUACCGUGAGGGAAAGAUGAAAAGAACUUUGAAAAGAGAGUUAAACAGUACGUGAAAUUGUCAAAAGGGAAGCGUUUGACACCAGUGUUGUUUUCUCGAAAAUCAAUUAAAAAUGGCUCGAUUUUGUAUUGCUGAGACCUUAAAAGCUCACUGUACAUCUUUCGUGUCUUUUUUAAUGCACUCUUCGUUUAACAAGUCAACAUCAGUUUCUUUUGUUGUAAAAGGGUCAUUGGAAGGUGGCUUUCUUUUCGGAGAAAGUGUUUAUAGCCUUUGGCCUCUGCAAUCGAAGAGACUGAGGUCUAGCAGCGUAGACUCUUCGGGGUUAGAUACAUUUGUGCUAAGUUAUAGCUUUUUAUAGACAACUUGUUGACUAUAAUUAGUCUUGUAGCUUACUCGCUUAUGCUAUUUUACCUACGCUUAGGAUGUUGAAGAUGUAGCACAUCAU
rnacentral:rRNA from 1 species